GAUGAACGCUGGCGGCGUGCCUAAUACAUGCAAGUCGAGCGAACGGACGAGAAGCUUGCUCCUCUGAUGUUAGCGGCGGACGGGCGAGUAACACGUGGAUAACCUACCUAUAAGACUGGGAUAACUUCGGGAAACCGCAGCUAAUACCGGAUAAUAUUUUCAGCCGCAUGGUUCAAAAGUGAAAGACGGUCUUGCUGUCACUUUUAGAUGGAUCCGCGUUGCAUUAGCUAGUUGGUAAGGUAACGGCUUACCAAGGCAACGAUGCAUAGCUGACCUGAGAGGGUGAUCAGCCACACUGGAACUGAGACACGGUCCAGACUCCCACGGGAGGCAGCAGUAGGGAAUCUUCCGCAAUGGGCGAAAGCCUGACGGAGCAACGCCGCGUGAGUGAUGAAGGUCUUCGGGUCGUAAAACUCUGUUAUUAGGGAAGAACAUAUGUGUAAGUAACUGUGCACAUCUUGACGGUACCUAAUCAGAAAGCCACGGCUAACUACGUG
rnacentral:rRNA from 1 species